rnacentral:rRNA from 1 species
UACGAAGGGGGCUAGCGUUGUUCGGAAUUACUGGGCGUAAAGCGCACGUAGGCGGACUAUUAAGUCAGGGGUGAAAUCCCGGGGCUCAACCCCGGAACUGCCUUUGAUACUGCUAGUCUCGAGUCCGGAAGAGGUGAGUGGAAUUCCGAGUGUAGAGGUGAAAUUCGUAGAUAUUCGCAAGAACACCAGUGGCGAAGGCGGCUGACUGGUCCGGUUCUGACGCUGAGGCGCGAAAGCGUGGGGAGCAAACAGG